rnacentral:lncRNA from 1 species
GGAAAUUUAUCCAAGCGCCGCACAGGGUUAAUUUAUUUUCGACACGCACAGCCCGGCGCACGGAAGCAUCCGGAGUCUCUGUGGACAGGUGACACACGUAGUGUGUACUCCCGUCGGUGCAAGCCUCAUGCGACCACUUAUAGCAAAAAUCACACUGGACCCAAGGUGGGGGUGACUCCAUCAGCGGGCCAGGUGAUGGUGGGAGGAGCAGCUGAGGUGGCACCAGGGGUGACUCCAGCAAGGGGGGCGGCAUCAGGAGCGGGCGAGAAGAGCCUCUUCUUGGGAGCCAGAGAGGAGGGAGGCUGCUUGGCGGGACGACGCUGCUUCAGAGUUCGGGGUGUCGCCCGGCCUUAGGGUAAGACCGGACGAUGUCCAGGCUGAAUUCGAGGGCAUCUUCCUCAGCCCAGACAGCUUCGUCAGGCCCGGCAGCUAGUCCAGGUACAUCCAUGCCUGCCAAAGGACACAUUUAAAAAAUACACUUUUAAAUAAAAAAAUGUUUAUAUCCCCACCCUCCUGAUCCUUGUUAAAUACCCUGAUGUGAGAGUUGUAGCCUGGUGGUCUAGCUCUCUCUGCCAUCCACUAACCUAUGGAAUUUUUUUAUGAACUUUGACUUAUGGGACUAUUUACUUAUGUAUUAUGAACUCUGUUGCUUCUGAUGAACUGUUCCUACCUGAAGUGGCACCUGGAGAAGCGCUGACCUCGUCACCUGAAGCCUGGGGAGGAGGACGGUCUGUGGAAUAGGAUCCGGUGAAGUCCUUUUCCUCAAACACGGAGGGUUUAAAAGGCCAGAUCCCUGGACUAGAGAACCCGGAUGUGAUGUUCUUCACUGUUGCAGCCUCUGGUAAGGCUUCAGCAACGAUGGAGGGCACAUCAUAAAUCGAGAUGUUGGGGGCUCCUCAUCCACCUGUCCGCCGCACUGUUUACGUACCCCUUUAGGGGGCCGAAGACACUAAUGUCCAUUGGCUGCAACCUGCGGGUGCAGUGGGGAGGGAAUGACAGCAGCACUAUGCCGUUGGCUCUGCAGUAAUCGAUUGCUGCAAUUGACAGGUGGGACGGGUGAUUGUCCAGCAGGCGGAGCAGCUUCGACUCCUUGGACACGGGUGUGACUGGUGAAGUGGGCCAGGUACAGGAGGAAGUCUGGCUCCUUCCUCCAGCAAGUUGGGUUUGCGGUGCCAGCACAGCCAACGGGUCCACCCCUCAGGAAGUGGUCUUCGAACCGCUUACGGGGGAAGAUAAAGAAUGGGGGAACAAGGUCGCCCUGCGCAUUGCAUGCCAGGGCAACUGUGACCAGGGUCCCCCUCUCCGCUGAGGUCACUGACCCGACCUGCUUCUGCCCCAUCUGGGCGACGACACGCCUGGCACCUGGACAGUGGUGACCCCUGUAAAUAGUUGUGUGAGCAUAGUUGUGUAUAUAUAUAGUUAUGUGUAUAUAGUUGUUUUUAUAUGUAUAUAGUUGUUAGCAUCGUUUCUAUUUAGAUAUCUAGUUACGUUUAUAUCGUUUUUUUCAUAUUUAUAUGGUUGUGAGCAUAGUUUAUUUUUAUAAACGUAGUUAUGUGUUUAUAGUUGUGUUUUAUAUUAAUAUAGUUCAUAAAUACCGGUUUCAUUAAUGUUCCAAAUAUCCUUGGCCUGGAACUGGUGCCGGUCCAGCACCGUCUUUCAAUUUUGGUAGAAC